CCUAGGCUGGGUCCUCUCCUCUACUCUCCGGUAGCACCUCUUCCAUGGCUCCAUCCUCUCCAAACCUCCGCACGCCUGCAGCAUUGCAGUGCCCGCCGCCGCCGAGAAACCCUGUCCAACGCCAUCUCCGCCUCCCCGCCUCCUCACGCCGCCAUCAAAAUCUCGCCCAGGGGCACUCUAGCCCCAAUCGUCGCCACCUCUGCUCCGGCCACAAGUACACCCGGUCUUUCUUUUUCCCCCUCCCUCCUUCUCUCAGCAAGUCAGCACGCUCCAGUUCCUGACGGUAAUGUGUGGACGUGUGGUAUUGGUCCCAAAACGGUUUGAUUGAUAAAGCUUUGAACAUACAGUGGUCAGAGACUUCAAAUUAGAUAAUUUUACAGUCGAUUGGUCUAGCCAGGGAGGGCAGGAUCCUUGAUUGGAAGAAACAGGAGUAACAUGGAGAUGCUUAUUUUUUUGUAUUGAAAUUUUCAGGCAUUACUCAGGUAGCCGGGCAUAAUACUGUAUAAAUCUUUAUUUUGUUCCAAGCUGCAAGUGAAUAUUAAAUACCAUAUAUCCUGCCCUAUGUUUCUGAAUACUGCAUUUUGCUUACAUUUUUGCAAUUAAGAAUCAGUCAUAUAGAAGCCAAUUACAUUCGACCAAUCCCAAAAGAUAGUACAGGAGCAAUAGAAGUUUGCUUCAAUACAGUUGUGGGCUGUGGCUGUUACAUAUGACCAAGGAGCAAUAGCAAGUUUUUUCUUAUAUCAACCCAAAAGAUAGAACUGAGUGCAGGAAAAUCAUCAUUGUGGCGUCAGUUAGGAAUUUUCAUUGGUUCUUCAGUGAAGGAAUUGUAGUUCUUUCUUCUUCUUCAUAUUUAUCUAUGGAGAUAUAUAGAGCUUGGCUAACGAUCGCUCAACUAAGUUCUUUCUUCUUCAGAUUUAGCUAUGGGAAUUGUAGUUCCAUAUCUAUGGGCUCGAUCUGUCAUCAUAUCGAUUUCACGUGGAGCGGAAUCUGUACUCCCAUGUCUGUUGGUGGUGUAGGAUGAUCAUAUAUUUUGACCCUGCAAUUAAUCAGUGUAAGUGUUCUUUGUUUUAACAUUUCGCUCAACCAAGUGGAUUUGUUCUGGUUUCAGCUCCCACGCCUAUGUGGAAGUAUGAUAUUUGUGAGUUUCAGUUAAGAGAAGUUGAGGAUUCAAUUUCUUUGAUUAAUCAUAGAAUGAUAUUGGUGAGUUUCAGUUAAGAGCAGUCAACCAUUCAAUUCUUUGAUAAUCAUAGUAUGAUAUUGGUGUGUUUCAGUUAAGUGCAGUCAAGAAUUCAAUUUCUUUGCUAAUCAAAUAUAUACGUUUAUAGGUAACCAUUCAUAUAAUAUUCUCUUCUUUUAUUAACAGAAUCUGGAGGGAGUUUUGCGAAGUAGCCUUUUUACAUAAUGUUCACAUAGAUAAAUAUUUACCCUUGUAACUGUUAAAGUUGCUCUAUACGUGUGCUUCGGUCUGAUGAUUGUAUUUCUUUUUGUGUCUACCACCGAGUAAUUGUUUUGGAGACGAAAAUAUUUCAGUACAACAUCUCGAGACCUAAACUAUUAUAUUGCAUAUAAUGCGGUUGUAUGAGCUCCAUCACUGUUUGUGCAAUUAUGAGAGAAAUUACCUCGGAUUUAGCAUACUAGAGAUAUGCUGAGAUCAACCUCUUGAUCUAUGUACACAAUGUAGUGCUUCAUAUGGACCACCAAAUCCUGCCUAUUUGCAGUGCACAAGAUGUCAUGGAUAUGGAUAAAAUAGAAGUUAAUAAAGUACAAAAUCAUUUUGGGUGCUAUGAAAUUCGUCCAAACCAUACCACUCUAUAUGUUUGUUUUAUUUUUUUAUCCAUGAUUAAUUUAGUUGAAAAUUGAAUUUAUUUUAUUAACCUGUUGUGUCUUGCAUAAUAAAUUUAUUUCUUUGGUAAGUUUUUGUCUGACAGAUCUUAAUUACUGGCCUUCAGGUUAGCAUGUCCAUCAUGUUCUUGUGUUUUGAAGCUGCCAUGGAUUCAGUUUAUGCUACAAAUUCCUACAGUACACUUAACAAUAAUUAAUGUAUGCCCCCAUUUUCUUGCCUGACAUCUAGAGUUCAAUUUGAGUUUGAAUAAAUAAUUUAAUCACAGAUAGAAAAGGAAGUGAGAGAACUGCAUGUCAUGGUGUAGGGAGCCCAAUCAGUUCAAUACAUGAUUCAUGUGAGCAAAAUCAGUUUUUUUGUUAUGUUGCCUCGAUGUAUGUCUGAUGGCUUCAAGCCUGCUUGUCAUAUUUGCAGUGUAAGCAUCUGUGUACAUCUGAAAAUGCAUAUUUAAAGAGGAGGUUGCUGACAACAAAUGUUGGGUGGCAACUCUAUGUUUCUUGGCACUUCUCUUCAUGUUUGCUGCAAUCAGAGAAGGGAAAGACAAGCAGUCAAGGAGGGUACAAGAUGAAUGCAUAUGAAGAAAAAGAACAUGCUAUAAAGCUUCUAAAAGCAAUGCUGACCCAGAGAUUCUUAAUGGGGUUUUAAGGUGCGAUGGAUAUAGGUAAAAAUUAACUACUCCCUCCGUCCAACAAAAGAUGUCUCAAGUUUGUCAAAAUUUGGAUGUAUCUAGACAUGACUUAGUGUAUAGAUGCAUUCAAAUUUAGACAAAGUUGACGCAUCCUUUGUUGGACAGAGGAAGUAUAAGCAUUCAAAUGUUCAAUACCAUAGUUUGGUUCCAGUCUGCAGCAUCAGGUAGGUAUGUCAUCAGGUAUGCCAUCGCUGUUAAUAUUUGAAUCUGUAUAACUUAUUCUAUAAAAUGUUUAUAUUGGGAUGUACAUAUUUGAAAUCAUUCAGAGUCGCCUUCGAGGUCGACUCAUGAAUGAGAAUGAGAUGAGAUGGAAUUUUCAAAUGUUUUGUCAACAUUUUGUUUCAAUGGCUAGGGAAAAGUUAGAAAAUGUUUGUCAACAUACUAUAACUAUACCCAUUACCCAGUAAUCAGGUAGAUAUUUACAUAAUUAAGGAAAAGUCGGUUCAGAAGAACUGCAAGAACAUGACAAACUCUUAGACUAUGAAUUUUACAAGUUAAAUAUGAAGCACAAAAAGAGUUCUUUUGUGCUUUUGUCGGAUCUCAGACAACCAGCGCCGUUGUGACUCUCUCUAUCUCUCUCUCUCUCUACGUGCGCCGUCGCUGUGACUCUCUCUCUGUCGAUCUCUAAGUGCGCCCUGGAUGCGCGCAUCUGCCGGCGGUCGGCGCCUCAACUCAGCCGCAAACCCUAUAUGUCUUUUUAUCUGCCGUUCCGUCCCACCGUCUCAGAGACUCAGACCCGCCGAAUACGCGCGCUUCAUGUGCAGGUACCGGCGGCCUUCGCUGUCUCCUCCUAACCCCUCGGGGUCAUGCAGCAACAUGUACAUGCACUUGGGAAAGGCCCAGCCGGAUUGGUUUGUGGCAUUAAUCUGCAUAUGUUGUGGCUGCUCAACUACACACUUUCAAAUGCCAUCUCAAGGUCGCCAGCGGCCGCUACUAUACUGUCAAUCGGUCCGUAUCCAUGAUCCAGGUAUCUUCUUACUUUCUUGUGAUUUUUGAGUUAUUGGUCUUAUAUAUCUAUUAGUGGUUAUUCUGGACAAAGUGGGCUGUCUAGCAGAUUGAAAACAAAUUUCAUUCUCAUUAUAUUCUGACCUGAGAUUCUUAUGGAGUACUAAGGACAUACAUAUAGAAUGCCCUUCUGAUUAAUUAAUAUAACAACCUUAAAAGGUUGAUAUAACACUCUUUCAUCCCAACUAUUCUUACGCCAAUGGCAGAUAAUUCGAUUACCCUUUUUCCAUGUCCUGUCCGACAUGGCUCAGGCAUUCUCCUCUCCUCGCUGCUGCCUUCGAGAACCUUGAGAUGCUCACCCUCAUCAACCUCCCAUAUAGUCUCGGCCAGGUACUAAUAUAUGUAUAGUAUGUAUGGGCUCUAGAAUAUGAGGCAACUCGUAGAGUCAUCGCUUUCUGAUACGAUUGCCUUCAGAGCUUAAGAAUUUAUCAAUAUUGUGUUGUCACGCUUCCUCUUGAUUAUUGACUAUUGUGCUCUGCUACGGCAUUAUACAACGCAAGAAAGGAGUUUUUGAGGUAAGCGUUCGCUCUAAUGAGGCAUCCCACAUUAUUCCUCAUGUUAUGUGCAUGUAUGUAAGACUCGGUAAAAUAUUAAUUUCAUGAUUUAAGUUUGGCACAUAAUAUAUCAAUUGACAUUUCAGGCGUUCAAUAUCGUACUUAAUGACUUGAGCAAAGGAUUCUGAAGCUCCCAUUAGACCAGUCGUAUAAAAAUGCUAAAUAGAGUUUCUCCGCAACAUGAUGCAACUGGAUAUCCUAUAACAUCUGCAGUUGAAAGCACUUCACGUGUAGAGAUACAAUAUUUUUCUUUGUACAAAUUUUACAUUUCUUAAUAGCAUAUAUUCAGUAUACAGGCUUUAACUUUUUUUUUGGAAAAGACACAUUUGAUCAUAUUUUGGAACCAACUUUGCAAUUUGACAUAUACUAUCACCAUGAACAUAAUAUUCACAAUUUUCUUGAGCAGGUGUAGAGGAGAGACAAUAAAUGUUACUAUGGCACCAUGUGUGUAAAUCUAUGUUUCUUUUGCAUCGAACAACAAAAUGAUUUUAUUCUGUCGUGAAGUAUUUAUUAUGCCAUUUAGAAGUCACUGCAUUUUUGUUUUGCUCUUGCACUCAUUUGUUGCGGAAAUGUACCUUUCAGAGUCAAAUUGUUAUAGCAUCUUCUUGUAUGUA